AUUGAACGCUGGCGGCAUGCCUUACACAUGCAAGUCGAACGGCAGCACGGGAGCAAUCCUGGUGGCGAGUGGCGAACGGGUGAGUAAUAUAUCGGAACGUGCCCAGUCGUGGGGAUAACGUAGCGAAAGCUACGCUAAUACCGCAUACGAUCUAUGGAUGAAAGCGGGGGAUCGCAAGACCUCGCGCGAUUGGAGCGGCCGAUAUCAGAUUAGGUAGUUGGUGAGGUAAAGGCUCACCAAGCCGACGAUCUGUAGCUGGUCUGAGAGGACGACCAGCCACACUGGGACUGAGACACGGCCCAGACUCCUACGGGAGGCAGCAGUGGGGAAUUUUGGACAAUGGACGCAAGUCUGAUCCAGCAAUGCCGCGUGCAGGAUGAAGGCCUCGGUUGUAACUGCUUUGUACGGUAACGAAACGGUACGGAGCGUCUAAUACAGUUG
rnacentral:rRNA from 1 species